rnacentral:rRNA from 1 species
GAUAAACGCUGGCGGCGUGCAUGAGACAUGCAAGUCGAACGGACGAUCGAGGCUUGCUUCGAUCGUUAGUGGCGGACGGCUGAGUAACGCGUAGGUGACCUGCCCCGAAGUGGGGAAUAACUGCCCGAAAGGGUGGCUAAUACCGCAUGUGGUGGUGUGUUCAAUCACACCAGUAAAGCCGCAAGGCGCUUCGGGAGGGGCCUGCGUCCGAUUAGCUCGUUGGUGGGGAACGGCUCACCAAGGCGACGAUCGGUAGGUGGUCUGAGAGGACGAUCACCCAGACUGGGACUGAGACACGGCCCAGACUCCUACGGGAGGCAGCAGUCGGGAAUUUUGCGCAAUGGACGAAAGUCUGACGCAGCAACGCCGCGUGAGGGAUGACGGCCUGGU